CAACAGCUCAGGCCAUCCUGAAGAAAGAGAUAGCAAUUCCACCACAGCUCUUCCUGAUAUUCCUCACAAUCUCUGCCCUGUUCCAUGCCCCUGCUGAUGAAUCUGAAUACCUGCAUCUGGCUACUCCUGGACCCACUUUCUAUUGUGAAGUUGACUGUACCACUCAGGUAUGUGAUCCCAUUUGGCAGGUGGGAGUGGGGAACUUGGAAUCACAGUACAGUGGAUUCUAAGCCAUCUGGAGAGAGCUCCUCCAAAAAACACUGUGGUCACAGUUGACGCUCAGCACAGGAAAGCUGAGGCCACGUCCUGAGGGAACCCUGCACAACUUUCACCCCUGAGGUUCUCCAACCCAGCUCAGCACAGGCAAUAUAAGUGCUCUGAACAUCAGGCUGACCGAGAUGUUCACAAUGUGGACAAUGCCCACAGACACCUGGCAGAGAGGGAAUUUUUUGAAACAGUUAACUACUGGGAGAAGGACUGAGACAGCACUGGACACAGUGGGAGUGCUUGGAAAACAGGCCCUCAGGCUAUGAGCUAUCUGAUCCAGCUCAGUAGUUGACAAAAAAACCCCAAGGCACUGGGCUGACCAGGCACCCACAGAUCACAAGCCUUCCAACCCACUAUUGCAUAGUACCAUUGAGUCCUAAGAACAUCAGGCAUGCCAGGAGCCUCCCUACCAUGAAUACUGCAUCCUACCUCAAUUUUGGACAAAAGAGUCAUUUGGACACCAAGAUGACCAGAGGCCCUCCAACCAAGAGCCCGUAAUCCAGGAGAGAGGGCAAUUGAUUCCCCAAGACACUGGCCUUGACAGGAGCUUUCAGAGCACAAGCAUUCUAGUUGAGCAGAGCACAGGGAAAUCUAGUCUCCAGAAUAGAGAGCCUGUCAAGAGACAUCAGACCAUGAUUCCUCCAACCCAGCUCUGCACUAGGCCAAGGGGUCACCUGGACAUUAGGCUCACCAAGUACCCUUUGACCUGGAGCCCUCCAACAGAGCAGGGCAUAGGACAGUCAAGUCUCCAGAACACCAGGCUUGCCAGGAGCCUUCAGACCAUGAUCCAUUUAAUCCAGCUCUGUACUAGGCCAAGUAGUGAUCUAUAAAGUGGGCUUACCACUUGCCCUUGUACCUGGAGGGCUCUAAACCAGCUCAGCAUUAGGGUAAGGAGUGUCCUGGACAUUUGGUUCACCAUGUGUUUUUGGAUCUGGAUCCCUAUAACAGAGCAGAGCAGAGGGCAAUCAAAUCUCCAGAACGUUGGGCUUGCCAAGAACCAUAAGACCAUGAUUCCUCCCACCAAGCUCAGCACUAGGCCAAGGAGUCACCUGGACCAUGAGUUUACCAUGUGCCCUUUGACCUGGAGACCUCCAGCAAAGAAAAUUGAAAGGCAAUCAAGUCUUCAGAACCUCAGGUUUGCCCAGAGCCUUCAGACAACAAGCCAUCCAAACCAGCUCUGUACCAGACCACGUGGGCUCAGCACUUGCCCUUGGACCUGGACGACUCCAAAACAAGCUCAGCACUAGUCCAGGGAGUCACCUGGACAGUUGGCGCACCAUGUGUCCUUGGAUCUUGAGCCCUACAGUAGAUAAGAACACAGGGCAAUAAAGUCUCCAGAACACUGGUCUUGCCAAAAGCCUUCAGGCCAUGAGCCCUCCAAUACAGCUCUACACUUGGCCUAGGAGUCACCUGGAGAGUGGGCUCAAUAUGUGCCCUUGGUCCUGGAGACCACCUACCCAGCAGAGCAAAGGCAAUCAAGUCUCCAGAACCCUAUGCUUUCCAGGAGCAUACAUACCAGAAACCAUCCAAUCCAGCUCUGCCUUAAGUCAAGGAGUCAUGUGGACAGCAGACUCAUUAUGUGCCCUUGAAUCUGGAGCCUUCCAAGCCAUCAAAGAAUAGAGAAAUCAAGUCUCCAGAGCACUGGGCUUUCCAGGACCCUUCAGACUAUGAGUCUUCCAACCCAGCUCUUCACUAAGCCAAGAUGUCACCUAGACAGUGGACUCACCACAUGCCCUUGGACCUGGAGGGCUCCAAACCAGAUCAGCACUAGGCCAAGGAGUCACCUCAGCAACAGGCUCACUAUGUACACUUUUACCUGGAGCCUUCUAAUCAAGCAAAGUCAAGGGCAAUUGAUCACUAGGCUUCCUAGUUGGCCUCAGGAUAUGAGACCUCUAAACCAGCUCAGCACUGUACCCACAUGUCCACUGGACCCAUGGCUAAAUGAGAGCCUUUAAACCAUGAACUUUCUAUCUCAGCUUAGCACUGGGCAAAAACAUCACUAGGACAGUGAAGUGACCCAGACUUCUCUGAUUGGGAGCUCUCCAACCCAGCAGAGAAGUGGGCAAUCAAAUUCCCAGAACAUCAGGCCUACUGGGAACCCUGUGACCUCAAGCCCUCUAUUCCAUCUUGACACUGUGCCCCUGAGUCCCCUGGACACUGUGCCUACCAGGAGACCCUGUGACCACAAUCCCUGCAUACCAUCAAAGCACAGAAAAGUUGAGUCCCUUCUCAUCUGGGACUGACUUCAGCCUGAGGUCCUUGACGUCUGUCACCUGUACAACCUUCCUGCUUCGGGGAGUUCUCCUCCUCAUAAGAAAAUAAUAUCAGGCCCUAACAAUGAGACUUUGUAUUAAAUUGAAGACUUUGUAUUUGAAGACUUUGUAUUAAAUUUCAAGACAGGACAUGAGGAGAGGGGCUUGGAGGAAGUUGCAGAGGAUACCCAGGCCCUGAGCCCAGAGGAGUUACCAUCCGAGAUCUUCCAGAUAAGGGGAAGGUUCUCCCAAGUGGAGAGAAAGGUGGAGGCCUUAGAAGAACAGGCCCAGCAGUUGGGUGAGAUGGAGGAUCAGCUGCAUGAGGUGGAGAGAUUCUUGUGCUCACAAAGGACUUCCUGGAAGCUUUGGCUUUCAAGGCAAUUUACACGGGGCGAAGUCCACCACUAACUCACAUGAGAUGGAAUAAAAGGGGGGCUGGAAAAAGUGUAUUCAUUUCUAGGAGUGGGAGCAUGGCAUGAGUUUACAAUUUACAUGAGUGUUAAAUAAAUAAAAUGAUCAUUUCAGAAUUA